rnacentral:rRNA from 1 species
CUACGGGAGGCAGCAGUAGGGAAUCUUCCGCAAUGGGCGAAAGCCUGACGGAGCAACGCCGCGUGAGUGAUGAAGGUCUUCGGAUCGUAAAACUCUGUUGUUAGGGAAGAACAAAUUUGUUAGUAACUGAACAAGUCUUGACGGUACCUAACCAGAAAGCCACGGCUAACUACGUGCCAGCAGCCGCGGUAAU